CAGGCAUGCAGGUGCGAGUGCGCCAGUGCGUCUGGAAUCACCAAAUAGGCCGCGAAAACCCUGCGUCAUCGCUGUACCGCUCAUUCUCCCACGCCAGCUAUUCAGUGAUCGCUGGUAUUCUUUUCAGACGCUCACUGAUACAGAGGUGGGGCAGCGGGGACGAUCAGUGACGAUGUUCACGAUGACAUCCAUGACGAAACCAGGAGCCAUGAGAUUGGCCGAUCUUGUGAUACCCAACGACAGUGUAGUACUUUGAAUAUGGUUGUAGUUAGACUAGUAUAAACAUCCUACUGGCCAGUAGUUUAACAAGUAAUAUUUGCAAUUAUUAACAUUGGGGUCUGGUUAUAAUCUUAAUUCUACUGUUAUAUGUAAUUUGUAUAGGUGUACAGAUGCCAACAGAUAUUUAAUGAUUAAAUUACAUGGUUUGAGGAAUAUGUUCUUUUAUAAUUAACAUUAACUUUGUACAUGAAAUUUUGAUCAGAAUAAUAAAGAGUAAAUAAGUUUGCGUCUUGGCUGAUUGUACAGCUAGAACAAUAAUAAAAGAUAAAUGACCUCACUAGUGAA